rnacentral:rRNA from 1 species
UAGCGGCGGACGGGUGAGUAACACGUGGGUAACCUACCUAUAAGACUGGGAUAACUUCGGGAAACCGGAGCUAAUACCGGAUAACAUUUGGAACCGCAUGGUUCUAAAGUGAAAGAUGGUUUUGCUAUCACUUAUAGAUGGACCCGCGCCGUAUUAGCUAGUUGGUAAGGUAACGGCUUACCAAGGCGACGAUACGUAGCCGACCUGAGAGGGUGAUCGGCCACACUGGAACUGAGACACGGUCCAGACUCCUACGGGAGGCAGCAGUAGGGAAUCUUCCGCAAUGGGCGAAAGCCUGACGGAGCAACGCCGCGUGAGUGAUGAAGGGUUUCGGCUCGUAAAACUCUGUUAUUAGGGAAGAACAAAUGUGUAAGUAACUGUGCACGUCUUGACGGUACCUAAUCAGAAAGCCACGGCUAACUACGUGCCAGCAGCCGCGGUAAUACGUAGGUGGCAAGCGUUAUCCGGAAUUAUUGGGCGUAAAGCGCGCGUAGGCGGUUUCUUAAGUCUGAUGUGAAAGCCCACGGCUCAACCGUGGAGGGUCAUUGGAAACUGGGAAACUUGAGUGCAGAAGAGGAAAGUGGAAUUCCAUGUGUAGCGGUGAAAUGCGCAGAGAUAUGGAGGAACACCAGUGGCGAAGGCGACUUUCUGGUCUGUAACUGACGCUGAUGUGCGAAAGCGUGGGGAUCAAACAGGAUUAGAUACCCUGGUAGUCCACGCCGUAAACGAUGAGUGCUAAGUGUUAGGGGGUUUCCGCCCCUUAGUGCUGCAGCUAACGCAUUAAGCACUCCGCCUGGGGAGUACGACCGCAAGGUUGAAACUCAAAGGAAUUGACGGGGACCCGCACAAGCGGUGGAGCAUGUGGUUUAAUUCGAAGCAACGCGAAGAACCUUACCAAAUCUUGACAUCCUUUGAAAACUCUAGAGAUAGAGCUUUCCCCUUCGGGGGACAAAGUGACAGGUGGUGCAUGGUUGUCGUCAGCUCGUGUCGUGAGAUGUUGGGUUAAGUCCCGCAACGAGCGCAACCCUUAAGCUUAGUUGCCAUCAUUAAGUUGGGCACUCUAGGUUGACUGCCGGUGACAAACCGGAGGAAGGUGGGGAUGACGUCAAAUCAUCAUGCCCCUUAUGAUUUGGGCUACACACGUGCUACAAUGGACAAUACAAAGGGCAGCUAAACCGCGAGGUCAUGCAAAUCCCAUAAAGUUGUUCUCAGUUCGGAUUGUAGUCUGCAACUCGACUACAUGAAGCUGGAAUCGCU